rnacentral:piRNA from 1 species
UAAUAAAUAUUAGCCAUGGCACAAGA